AGGAUGAACGCUAGCGGCAGGCUUAACACAUGCAAGUCGAGGGGCAGCACGAUGUAGCAAUACAUUGGUGGCGACCGGCGCACGGGUGCGUAACACGUAUGGAACUUGCCCUUUACUGGAGGAUAGCCCGGAGAAAUCCGGAUUAAUACUCCAUAACAAUCGAGGUGGCAUCACCUUGAUUUGAAAGCUCCGGCGGUAAAGGAUGGCCAUGCGCACGAUUAGCUAGUUGGUGAGGUAACGGCUCACCAAGGCUACGAUCGGUUAGGGGCCUGAGAGGGUUACUCCCCACACUGGUACUGAGACACGGACCAGACCUCCGUACGGGAGGCAGCAGUGAGGAAUAUGCGCAAGUGGAGGCAACUCUGACGCAGCCAGUGCCGCGUGCGAAGGAAGAAGGCGCUACGCGUUAGUAAACUGUACCGUUUUAAACCGGGAACGAAACCCCGAGGUACCGUGUUCCGUGGGUUACGACGGUACCGGAAGGUAAGUAACGCACCGGACUAACCGUUCGUGACCGAGCACGUCCGACGGUUAACG
rnacentral:rRNA from 1 species